rnacentral:rRNA from 1 species
UGGGCGCAGCCUGAUGCAGCGACGCCGCGUGAGGGAUGACGGCCUUCGGGUUGUAAACCUCUUUCAGUAGGGAAGAAGCGAAAGUGACGGUACCUGCAGAAGAAGCACCGGCUAACUACGUGCCAGCAGCCGCGGUAAUACGUAGGGUGCGAGCGUUAUCCGGAAUUAUUGGGCGUAAAGAGCUCGUAGGCGGUUUGUCGCGUCUGUCGUGAAAGUCCGGGGCUUAACCCCGGAUCUGCGGUGGGUACGGGCAGACUAGAGUGCAGUAGGGGAGACUGGAAUUCCUGGUGUAGCGGUGGAAUGCGCAGAUAUCAGGAGGAACACCGAUGGCGAAGGCAGGUCUCUGGGCUGUAACUGACGCUGAGGAGCGAAAGCAUGGGGAGCGAACAGGAUUAGAUACCCUGGUAGUCCAUGCCGUAAACGUUGGGCACUAGGUGUGGGGACCAUUCCACGGUUUCCGCGCCGCAGCUAACGCAUUAAGUGCCCCGCCUGGGGAGUACGGCCGCAAGGCUAAAACUCAAAGGAAUUGACGGGGGCCCGCACAAGCGGCGGAGCAUGCGGAUUAAUUCGAUGCAACGCGAAGAACCUUACCAAGGCUUGACAUGUUCUCGAUCGCCGUAGAGAUACGGUUUCCCCUUUGGGGCGGGUUCACAGGUGGUGCAUGGUUGUCGUCAGCUCGUGUCGUGAGAUGUUGGGGUUAAGUCCCGCAACGAGCGCAACCCUCGUUCCAUGUUGCCAGCACGUAGUGGUGGGGACUCAUGGGAGACUGCCGGGGUCAACUCGGAGGAAGGUGAGGACGACGUCAAAUCAUCAUGCCCCUUA